UACAGAGGUGGCAAGCGUUGUUCGGAAUUACUGGGCGUAAAGGGCGCGUAGGUGGCCAUCUAAGUCAGACGUGAAAUCCCCCGGCUUAACCUGGGAACUGCGUCUGAUACUGGACGGCUUGAGUAUGGGAGAGGAACGUAGAAUUCCAGGUGUAGCGGUGAAAUGCGUAGAUAUCUGGAGGAAUACCGGUGGCGAAGGCGGCGUUCUGGACCAUUACUGACACUGAAUCGCGAAAGCUAGGGGAGCAAACGGG
rnacentral:rRNA from 1 species